AGCAGCCGCGGUAAUUCCAGCUCCAAUAGCGUAUAUUAAAGUUGCUGCAGUUAAAAAGCUCGUAGUUGAAUUUCGGGACCAUCAUGUCGGUCGUGCCUCGGUACGUACUGGCAUUGUUGGUUUCUCCCUUCUGACGAACCAUGAUGUCAUUUAUUUGGUGUCGUGGGAAAUCAGGACUGUUACUUUGAAAAAAUUAGAGUGUUUAAAGCAGGCUCACGCUUGAAUACAUUAGCAUGGAAUAAUGAAAUAGGACGUUUGAUUCUAUUUUGUUGGUUUCUAGGAUCGACGUAAUGAUUAAUAGGGAUAGUUGGGGGCAUUAGUAUUCAAUUGUCAGAGGCGAAAUUCUUGGAUUUAUUGAAGACUAACUACUGCGAAAGCAUUUGCCAAGGAUGUUUUCAUUAAUCAAGAACGAAAGUUAGGGGAUCGAAGACGAUCAGAUACCGUCGUAGUCUUAACCAUAAACUAUGCCGACUAGGGAUCGGAUGAUGUUAAUUUUUUAAUGACUCAUUCGGCGCCUUAC
rnacentral:misc_RNA from 1 species